GCAUAGAGAGUUGAAUGUGGUCGGAGGAACAUGUGAAAAAGGAGGUAGGAAUGAAGCCAUGUUUUUCAGGUCAAGAAGCUCUCAUUAAUUACGUUGUUUUCACUGAAUUCGGUGCUAGUACGAUGUGCUUUUGCCUUUACAUGUGCUCAACAUUUUAAUUUUAAUUUUAAUUUAAAUUUUUGUUUUAUAUACAAUGUCAAUAAUAUAUUAAUUAACUUAUCUAAUAUGUAUUAAAAAAUAAAAUUUUAUUAAUUUCAAUAAUUAAUUAAAAGAGGGAAUGUGUUAGAAAGAAAAUAUAAAAAUUUAUUAUUUUAAUUAUAUUCUUUUAUUGAAGACAAGUAGACAGUGAAUCUGCAUUAUUUUGGAAGUGAUUUGAAUGAGGGCAGAUCCAAAGGGGUAUUCAUGUAAUUUCUUAAAACAUUACAUAUUUUUUAAUACUUUCCAACAUUGCUAAAAUUCAAGAUUUUUAGUUGAUUUUAUUAUAUGAUUAUCUUUGUAUACCAUUCUCUUUUUUCAUGUAUAUUACUUUUUUUUAUAAAUCUGAUAUUUAGAUUGAGCCUUUGUGAAUCCGCCGCUGGAAAUUGAUGUGUACAUAACAGAAGGAAUGUGUAUUGGCUUAAUGUGUGUGAAAGCAGUUGCCUAGCCAGCCCAAUAGGGGAAAAAAAAGAAGAAGAAAGGAAAUAUACUUAAAACAAAAGGGCAAUUUUGGUAUAAAAUCACAUAAUCAUGUCAUUGCUGAUUGCUUACACGGUUCAACGGAUCCCUCUUAAAAUGGUAACAAAUGGAGCAACUUAAAUGCCAUUGUCUAUCACCUUCCUUAAUGACCAAAACUUGUCCUUUUUCCCCUCUUCCUUCUAAUAUAUAUACUUCCCAAUUCGUUUAGGACUUUUCACAAGCAGGUGUGCAGACCCUAAAGUGUGAUCUCUUUCUUUAACACCCCCCCUUAAACAAGAAGUGGUUUGGAGAUCAAUUUCGGCUACCAAAUGGAGGAGAAGCACGUCAAGCACAACAAAAGCUAUCAUGGAGAUGGAGAGGUGGGUUGUCUUCCAAUUCACAGUCAAGUCAUAAAGAUCAAACAAGAAUUCAAGAAGAUCCAGCAUCCGGGGCUGAAGCAGACGGAGAUGCGACGUGUUAUAUACAAGAUCACAAGGGAACGCUCGCGUUCGCCUCUGGGUUUAGCGGAGAGACCCAUCUCAGUCGGAAACUAAUGGAAGGUUUACCAGAGAUCGUUUAUGAAUAUCAUGGUGAAAAUUUUCAGCGUAGCAGAUGCUCCUUGAUGGGUUUAGAAAUCUUUUUAUUUGCUCUUAUUUCUAGGUAUAUCACCUCUUCCCNNNCCCCCCUCUCGUCGGCUUUUAGGCUCUGCCUCUAGUCCAGUUGCUCUGUUUUUGAGAUUCUGUACUCUGUACAUAUCUUUGAUCAAGAGAUAAAAGGUAGAAAGUUAAUUAAAGAUGUGAUGAAAUCUUUCCUUUUCGUUUUUUCUCUUUAUUUUAUUUUCAUUCUUGAGAUAGUUUCAUCCUUCAUCAAUUUUAUAUGGAGAAUUUCUCUGCCCAAAAAAAAUUCAUUGCAAAUCCAUUUACAAUUUUAAUUUUUUUAUAAUUAAAAAAAUUGAGUUCUUUUCUUUUUAUAAGAGAAUUCUUAAAAAGUUAAUUUUUUGAACAAGAUGGAAGUUGAAAAUAAUUUUUUGAAAGGGAUGGUGUCAUAGCCCACAAGAUAGUUAGCAAGCGAGCAUGCGUAAUGAUUUGGCAAAGGAGAAGGUCCGAUUUUAAACAAAAAGUAUCUCACACCACCAACCUUCCUCCCAACAUGAAGAAAAGAAAACGCCAAUAUUUUAUUCUUCCCCUUGAGCCUCAGCCCAAUUUCUGCUUCUCAUCAUCAUGACUUCACAUGCGCUGCUGGGGCUGCCAUACAAGUGUCGGUCGCUGAACCCAUAUGACGACUCAAAACUUUAACGGUUUUGGCCAACUGCAUAUCUAACAAAACUGCCACCUUUUACAUCACCAUGCUGCAGCAGCAGACCCCAUUUGAACUCUCA
rnacentral:lncRNA from 1 species